GGCCGCAUUGCGGCAUACAGGGUCCAGUGACUAAAAGCCCCGAAUAUUCGGGGUUUUUUGUUAUUAGCGAAUCGUAAUACUGGGCUAUAGGCCCUUUUUUU
rfam:Pantoea vagans C9-1, complete genome.